rnacentral:rRNA from 1 species
UGGGGGAUAUUGCACAAUGGGCGAAAGCCUGAUGCAGCGACGCCGCGUGGGGGAUGAAGGCCUUCGGGUUGUAAACUUCUUUUGCUCUGAACAAGGCGCACCAUGGGGUGUGUUGAGUGUAGGGGUUGAUUAGCGCCGGCUAACUACGUGCCAGCAGCCGCGGUAAUACGUAGGGCGCGAGCGUUGUCCGGAAUUAUUGGGCGUAAAGGGCUUGUAGGUGGCUGGUUGCGUCUGUCGUGAAAGCUCAUGGCUUAACUGUGGGUUUGCGGUGGGUACGGGCUGGCUUGAGUGCAGUAGGGGAGGCUGGAAUUCCUGGUGUAGCGGUGGAAUGCGCAGAUAUCAGGAGGAAUACCGGUGGCGAAGGAGGGUCUCUGGGCUGUUACUGACACUGAGGAGCGAAAGCAUGGGGAGCGAACAGG